UGGGGAAUUUUGCACAAUGGGCGCAAGCCUGAUGCAGCGACGCCGCGUGAGGGAUGAAGGCCUUCGGGUUGUAAACCUUUUUCGCUCAUGGUCAAGCCGCAGCUUUGGGUUGUGGUGAGGGUAGUGGGUAAAGAAGCGCCGGCUAACUACGUGCCAGCAGCCGCGGUAAUACGUAGGGGGCUAGCGUUGUCCGGAAUCACUGGGCGUAAAGGGUUCGCAGGCGGAAAUGCAAGUCAGGUGUAAAAGGCAGUAGCUUAACUACUGUAAGCAUUUGAAACUGCAUAUCUUGAGAAGAGUAGAGGUAAGUGGAAUUUUUAGUGUAGCGGUGAAAUGCGUAGAUAUUAAAAAGAAUACCGGUGGCGAAGGCGACUUACUGGGCUCAUUCUGACGCUGAGGAACGAAAGCGUGGGUAGCAAACAGG
rnacentral:rRNA from 1 species